UACGGAGGGGGCUAGCGUUGUUCGGAAUUACUGGGCGUAAAGCGCACGUAGGCGGCUUUGUAAGUUAGAGGUGAAAGCCUGGAGCUCAACUCCAGAAUUGCCUUUAAGACUGCAUCGCUUGAAUCCGGGAGAGGUGAGUGGAAUUCCGAGUGUAGAGGUGAAAUUCGUAGAUAUUCGGAAGAACACCAGUGGCGAAGGCGGCUCACUGGAUGACUGUUGACGCUGAGGUGCGAAAGCUUGGGGAGCAAACAGG
rnacentral:rRNA from 1 species